UACGAAGGGGGCAAGCGUUGUUCGGAAUUACUGGGCGUAAAGGGCGCGUAGGCGGCCUGCUAAGUCGAACGUGAAAUCCCCGGGCUUAACCCGGGAACUGCGUCCGAUACUGGUGGGCUUGAAUCCGGGAGAGGGAUGUGGAAUUCCAGGUGUAGCGGUGAAAUGCGUAGAUAUCUGGAGGAACACCGGUGGCGAAGGCGGCAUCCUGGACCGGUAUUGACGCUGAGGCGCGAAAGCUAGGGGAGCAAACGGG
rnacentral:rRNA from 1 species